GCGGAAGUUGAAGAGCUUGCUCUUCAACUUUAGCGGCGGACGGGUGAGUAACACGUGGGCAACCUGCCCUGCAGAUCGGGAUAACUCCGGGAAACCGGUGCUAAUACCGAAUAGUUUUGGGUCCCUCCUGGGGUUAUACGGAAAGACGGUUUCGGCUGUCACUGCAGGAUGGGCCCGCGGCGCAUUAGCUAGUUGGUGGGGUAAUGGCCCACCAAGGCGACGAUGCGUAGCCGACCUGAGAGGGUGAUCGGCCACACUGGGACUGAGACACGGCCCAGACUCCUACGGGAGGCAGCAGUAGGGAAUCUUCCGCAAUGGACGAAAGUCUGACGGAGCAACGCCGCGUGAGUGACGAAGGUUUUCGGAUCGUAAAACUCUGUUGUGAGGGAAGAACAAGUACCACGUAACUACUGGUACCUUGACGGUACCUCACCAGAAAGCCACGGCUAACUACGUGCCAGCAGCCGCGGUAAUACGUAGGUGGCAAGCGUUGUCCGGAAUUAUUGGGCGUAAAGCGCGCGCAGGCGGUCCCUUAAGUCUGAUGUGAAAGCCCACGGCUCAACCGUGGAGGGUCAUUGGAAACUGGGGGACUUGAGUGCAGAAGAGGAAAGUGGAAUUCCACGUGUAGCGGUGAAAUGCGUAGAGAUGUGGAGGAACACCAGUGGCGAAGGCGACUUUCUGGUCUGUAACUGACGCUGAGGCGCGAAAGCGUGGGGAGCA
rnacentral:rRNA from 1 species